GGGCAGGGCAGGUAGAAGUAGAAUUCAUGAGCGAGCGGCGACUGUAUGUAUAUUCGGGAUCUGAACUUGGUUUCAAUCUGGUUUGGGGCAGGUGCCCCUGUCCCGCUUACGUCGAGAAACCGCGUCAACCAACUCCACAGGUUAUCGACAAGGCGGCAAGCACAAGCCGUCCCGGCGGACGGCGACGGCUUCCUCGCCCUGUGCCGGCCGCGGUCACCGCGAAACGGCGGCGCACGGUCGGCAGGGCCACGCGCGCUCUCUGCUGGCGGCGCACGCGGAGGCAAGCCGAUAAACACGAGUGAUUCUAGGCGGUGGCACCAGGCCAGGGCGGUAGGGGGCCUACACGCGCGACCCGACUCGACUCUCGCAUUUGGGGAUCGGGGGACCAGAUUGCACAUCGUUUUCCGUUUGAGGGACCAGAUUGCCCUCUGCCGUCGCCGUCGCCGUCGGGGGUGGCGGCCAUGGGUUCACGCACGGCGCGGGUUUGCCCCGCCCCCUCCCCUUCCCUUCCACAAGGCCACCGCCACCGCCACAACAGCUCGGAGCUCGGCCAGGAGGCACUGCAGUAAGCGGCCGAGUCGAGGAGCCGCCUGCGGGCGACCGGCGAGGAGGGUUAGGGGCCUCAGCUCCAACGCAGACACGAACGGAGUCCCUGUACCGAAGUUUAUGAGACAGACUGACACGGAGUCGCCCGGAGCAACGGGGUGGAUGGCAGCGUGUAGCAAUUCCUUGAGCCGUUGGGGAAGCUCCUCAAGGUUUUUUGGCUCUCAUAUGGGGCACCAGCCAUGUACACUGCUGCUAUUUGGUGGGUCAAACCGCCCUCGACGAAUCCAACGUCGGACUGGUGCUGUAUUCCUCGUAUGCUGCUGUCGGUGUAGGGAGUAUUGUUUCUGUAUCCACAGUCGAGGCUUAUGAACCCUGCAUAACGGAGAGUAUGUAUCGGUUUCAUGUGUUUCAGGUUUAAGAUAUGCUCAGAGAUGACAACUCUAGAUAUCCAAUAGCUAAUAGUAUGUGAGUGUUAAGAUCAAAGUAAACUGAGAUUUCUUAAGUUGAACUGACUGAAGUAAACUGAGCUGUGCAUGCAGAUGGAGCAGAGGUCAAAGAGGUGCAGGGAUCUAUCUAGAAGGGAAAAGCAGGAUGACACGAAUUUCAUUACCAGUGGUAGAAGAAGGCUGGCCAUGGACUCGAAUCGUCGUCGUGGCCAGGACGAGCAGCGGUGCCAAGAUCCAUGUCAGUUUUGUACUCGCCGAGCUGAUGAUCGCCAUGGCACUCUUGGGUUUUUGCAAGGCCUUGCAGGCGAGAGGCAUCCCUAUGUGCCACAGAGCAACCCUGUCAAUUAUAUGGCAGAGGAAACCAGCUAACGCGGCCGGUUUAGUGGUAUUUUUAGCGACUCGAGCUCAAUCGGCGCGGUGUGAUAAUAAAGAAAACGAAAGCUUUGUCCAUCAGUAGGUGAACUGCUACUUGCAUUAGUCUAAAGGUAAGACUUGCCAUGGAGUUCAGUUUGAUAA